rnacentral:rRNA from 1 species
AUCCUGGCUCAGGAUGAACGCUAGCUACAGGCUUAACACAUGCAAGUCGAGGGGCAGCAUUGGGAUAGCUUGCUAUUCAGAUGGCGACCGGCGCACGGGUGAGUAACGCGUAUCCAACCUUCCUGCCAGUAGGGAACAGCCCGGCGAAAGUCGGAUUAAUGCCCUAUGUUCUUCAAUGCGGACAUCUAAGUUGAAGGAAAGAUUCAUCGCUGGCAGAUGGGGGUGCGUCCGAUUAGCUUGCCGGCGGGUAACGGCCCACCGGGGCGACGAUCGGUAGGGGUUCUGAGAGGAAGGUCCCCCACACUGGUACUGAGACACGGACCAGACUCCUACGGGAGGCAGCAGUGAGGAAUAUUGGUCAAUGGGCGUAAGCCUGAACCAGCCAAGUAGCGUGCAGGAUUGACGGCCCUACGGGUUGUAAACUGCUUUUAUGCGGGGAUAAAGUGCGGCACGUGUGCCGCUUUGCAGGUACCGCAUGAAUAAGGACCGGCUAAUUCCGUGCCAGCAGCAGC